rnacentral:sRNA from 1 species
GCCGCAAAGUCCAUCCCUGCCCGCCCUCCCCUCCCCUUGCGAGUGGUCCCGCUUACCCUUCACUGCCAUCAUCGCCCUGCCUUUCCCAGUCCUGCUGGCUGCGCUCAGUCUUUAGGUGGUAGCAGGCCAGGUACAGCGGACACUUGCUGAUGGGGGAUUCCAGGAGGUGGGAUUUCAAGGAAUAGGAGCUCGGUGAAUUCAAGGACCAUGCUUGCUUCGUUCAUUGUAUCUUCAGCACCUAGCACAGCACCCAGCACAUAGGACAUGUUUGUUGACUGAAUGCGUAUCUCUGUCAUCACACUCACUCCAUGGUGUUGAGAUAUUUGUGUUUCCCCUUCCCUAGACAGUGAGAUCCUUGAAGGCAGCUGCCUUAUCUUAUUCCUUUUUGUAUUUCCAUACCUAGCCUAAUACCUAGCUUAUAUAAGGGAACAGAAUAAAUGAACAAUAAAGAAAAGUCUUUACAGCCUCUAAAA